GUGGGGAAUAUUGGACAAUGGGCGAAAGCCUGAUCCAGCCAUGCCGCGUGUGUGAAGAAGGUCUUCGGAUUGUAAAGCACUUUAAGUUGGGAGGAAGGGCAGUAAGUUAAUACCUUGCUGUUUUGACGUUACCGACAGAAUAAGCACCGGCUAACUUCGUGCCAGCAGCCACGGUAAUACGAAGGGUGCAAGCGGUAAUCGGAAUUACUGGGCGUAAAGCGCGCGUAGGUGGUUUUGUAAGUUGGAGGUAGAAUCCCCGGGCUCAACCUGGGAACUGCCUCAAAAACUGCAUGACUAGAGUACGGUAGAGGGUAGUGGAAUUUCCUGUGUAGCGGUGAAAUGCGUAGAUAUAGGAAGGAACACCAGUGGCGAAGGCGACUACCUGGACUGAUACUGACACUGAGGUGCGAAAGCGUGGGGAGCAAACAGGAUUAGAUACCCUUGUAGUCC
rnacentral:rRNA from 1 species